rnacentral:lncRNA from 1 species
GAGGUAACUUCCCCCAAUCCAGCAUAUCCUUACUGGAUUCGCCAGGACAAUCUUAUUCUCAGUGCCAUCAUCUCGUCGAUCACACCAACGAUCAUCUCGUUCAUUGCCGCUGCGGUAACCUCUAAAGAGGCAUGGGACAUCCUCGCGCGCACAUACGGAACUGCUUCUCGCGAUCGUAUCAUGGCUCUCAAACAGCAGCUCCAUAAUCCGG